rnacentral:rRNA from 1 species
GUGGGGAAUUUUGGACAAUGGGCGCAAGCCUGAUCCAGCAAUGCCGCGUGCAGGAAGAAGGCCUUCUGGUUGUAAACUGCUUUUGUACGGAACGAAACGGUCCGGGUUAAUACCCUGGGCUAAUGACGGUACCGUAAGAAUAAGCACCGGCUAACUACGUGUCAGCAGCCGCGGUAAUACGUAGGGUGCAAGCGUUAAUCGGAAUUACUGGGCGUAAAGCGUGCGCAGGCGGUUUUGUAAGACAGGCGUGAAAUCCCCGGGCUCAACCUGGGAAUUGCGCUUGUGACUGCAAGGCUGGAGUGCGGCAGAGGGGGAUGGAAUUCCGCGUGUAGCAGUGAAAUGCGUAGAUAUGCGGAGGAACACCGAUGGCGAAGGCAAUCCCCUGGGCCUGCACUGACGCUCAUGCACGAAAGCGUGGGGAGCAAACAGGAUUAGAAACCCGUGUAGUCC